GCGUACGGUUGUUUGUGAAGGGUACGAAACGAUUGGCUAUCCCGGUGGCGCGUUUCGUCGUCGUGAAACGAACCCGCGAUUCAUCGCCGAUACGUGCGUCUCGCGUACAACUAAUUUUCCGUGGUUGGUGUCCCACACGUGGUUUUACCCGUGCACUGUUAUCGCAUUUGGUCGUCGAAGGAAAGAAGAGGGAGGUCGAAAGAAGGAAGAAAAAACUUGGCGAAUAGAAGUGCGUCGUCUUCGCGCCAGUAAAGGCGUCCUUCCGCGUUCUCCUCUACGACGUAUACACGAGCCGCGGCCAGUAGUCGCGCGAGUGAGUGAUUUUAUUUGCAACGAACAGUGCCUGACGAGGACGGAAAUAGCUGUUAAGUGAAGUUCCUCGACUUUUCGCGAUCGGUCAACGAGAGAGCCGCAGGGAUGACGAGGUAGCCCCCCAUCCGAGGGAUUGGAUUACCAUGCUGGACACGGCCACGAGUCGCAGGUGGCUGUCAGAAGUUCAGGCUGAAAGCGCGAAGAGUCCCGAUUGGCAGCAGCAUGCUCUCAGUAUAGCGUUCAAGCAUCGACGAUCAUCUCCGUGAAGUUACUCUGCCAUGUUGCUUAGGUGAGCGGGAGGGAGGCGGUGCUGACCGGUGGCGGC